GACGAACGCUGGCGGCGUGCUUAACACAUGCAAGUCGAACGGUGAAGCGCCUUCCUUUUUGGUGGGUGUGGAUGAGUGGCGAACGGGUGAGUAACACGUGAGUAACCUGCCCCCUUCUUCUGGAUAACCGCAUGAAAGUGUGGCUAAUACGGGAUAUUCUGGGUCUGUCGCAUGAUGGGUCUGGGAAAGAUAUUGUUUCGGUGGGGGAUGGGCUCGCGGCCUAUCAGCUUGUUGGUGGGGUGAUGGCCUACCAAGGCGGUGACGGGUAGCCGGCCUGAGAGGGUGGACGGUCACACUGGGACGGAGACACGGCCAAGACUCCUACGGGAGGCAGCAGUGGGGAGUAUUGAACAAUGGGCGCAAGCCUGAUGCAGCGACGCCGCGGGAGGGAUGGAGGCCUUCGGGUUGUGAACCUCUUUCGCCAGUGAAGCAGGCCUGCCUCGUUUGUGGGUGGGUUGACGGUAGCUGGAUAAGAAGCGCCGGCUAACUACGUG
rnacentral:rRNA from 1 species